rnacentral:tRNA from 1 species
UGGGGUUGUGGCUCAGUGGAAGAGCGCUUGCCUGGCAUGUUUGAGGCACUGGGUUCGAUCCCUAGCACCUAA